UACGUAGGGGGCAAGCGUUGUCCGGAUUCAUUGGGCGUAAAGGGUGCGUAGGUGGCUGGGAAAGUUUGAUGUGAAAGCUCAGGGCUUAACCCUGAAAUGGCAUUGAAUACUGCCUGGCUGGAGGUUUGGAGGGGGGACUGGAAUUCUUGGUGUAGCAGUGAAAUGCGUAGAUAUCAAGAGGAACACCAGUGGCGAAGGCGAGUCCCUGGACAACACCUGACACUGAGGCACGAAAGCCGGGGGAGCAAACAGG
rnacentral:rRNA from 1 species